CAGCGCCGCGGGAAUACGUAGGUGGCAAGCGUUGUCCGGAAUUAUUGGGCGUAAAGGGCUCGCAGGCGGUUUCUUAAGUCAGAUGUGAAAGCCCCCGGCUCAACCGGGGAGGGUCAUUGGAAACUGGGAAACUUGAGUGCAGAAGAGGAGAGUGGAAUUCCACGUGUAGCGGUGAAAUGCGUAGAGAUGUGGAGGAACACCAGUGGCGAAGGCGACUCUCUGGUCUGUAACUGACGCUGAGGAGCGAAAGCGUGGGGAGCGAACAGGAUUAGAUACCCCGGUAGUCCCUGUCUCUUAUACA
rnacentral:rRNA from 1 species